rnacentral:rRNA from 1 species
UCAGACGAUGCGUCAUGCAUAUCAAUAAGCGGAGGAAAAGAAACUAACAAGGAUUCCCCUAGUAACGGCGAGUGAGGCGGGAAGAGCUCAAAUUUGAAAUCUUAAAGGGUUUCCCUUUACGAAUUGUAGUUUAAAGAAGUGUUUUCUGUUGAGGUUUUGGUAAAAGUUCUUUGGAAUAGGACAUCAUAGAGGGUGAGAAUCCCGUAUUUGACCUUUACUUUCAACUUUGUGAUACACUUUCAAAGAGUCGGAUUGUUUGGGAAUGCAGUCCAAAAUGGGUGGUAAAUUUCAUCUAAAGCUAAAUAUUGGCGAGAGACCGAUAGCGGACAAGUACCGUGAGGGAAAGAUGAAAAGAACUUUGAAAAGAGAGUUAAACAGUACGUGAAAAUUGUCAAAAGGGAAGCGUUUGACACCAGUGUUGUUUUUCUGAAAAUCAAUUAAAGAACUGUUUAUGCUAAGUUGUUUAGACUUUAUCAGCUAUCUGUUUAGUUUUGAGCUUUUCUUUAAUGCACUUUUCAGUUAACAAGUCAACAUCAAUUUCUUUUGCUGUAAAAAAGCUUGAGGAAGGUGGCUUGAGAUUCGUCUUAAGUGUUUAUAGCCUCUUGCCUAUGCAGUCGGAGAGAUUGAGGUCUGCAGCGUAGAUCCUUCGGGGCUAAAUGCAUUUGUGCUAAGUUAUAGCAUUUUAUAGACAACUUGUUGACUAUGAUUUGUCUUGUAGCUUACUCGCUUAUGUUAUUUUACCUACGCUUAGGAUGUUGAAUCUGUGCGAGACUA